AUCUAUAGUCACAGCACUCUGCAUGCACCUGAUCUAUUUUGAUCUUAGAAGUUAAGCAGGGUCAAGCCUGGUUAGUACUUGGAUGGAAGAGUUUAAGUCCAGUCUGUGCUAUAUGAG
rnacentral:rRNA from 1 species